GUCCUUGUCGAUUAGUGGUUAGAUCAUCACGUUGUGGAUUCACAAGACCGUGAAGGCGGAGGCUCGAAUCCUCCCUGGGACA